AUGAGUCAGCAGCCCCAGUGGCAAACAGGACCAAGAGAUUCCAUCACUUCUAGAAACAGGUACCCCAGCAGAGAGAGAAAGGGCAGGGCGCGUAAGAUUGUGUGCGGCAGAGGACAGCCUAGACCCAGCUUGGGUCCCUCAGUUCCUGGUUCUGUGUGGAGGAGGCAGGUACCUAGCCUGCUGACUGUGCUGAGAAGGGCCCUGGGCCAACCCUUGGCUCUUCUCAGGGAGAGGAGAGGUCAUGGACAGCCUGGCUUAUCCUCAGAUGACCUCUUCCUUCUCUACCGCUGAGGACACAAACAUUCAAGCCUGCCUCCUAUCGUAAGCAGGUGGCACGUACCUGCCUCUUCUCGGAGGAUGGACGAGUCGAACCGGGCACAAGCAUGGAGCUGCGGAUGAGUCCUGGCUGGUACUGGCGCGGCGCAGCGAGCAGUGGCUGACGCAGAGGGCUCCCUGGCCUCGCUCGGUGCCUGCCCGCCUCUCCCCCACCUCCGCCGGGGGCCCAGAAAGGACCUCCCCGGGAAAUCGGCGCCACCCAGCGGGCAGCCGCCUCAUUGCGCCCGGGCCGGGAAAGCCCCACCCCGCGUUCGCGUCACUGAUAUACGUCACGGCUAUUGGCUUGUUUCUAAUUGUGGCGUCAAUAUAGCCCCGCCCGGCGUGAGUCUCCCAGGCAACCAGUAUAUACAGAGAACCACGUGGAGCAAAAGCACGCCUGUUUGGAGCCGGUGGCGCAAGGAAAGAAGUGGACUGGAAUGUGACAGGUCCGGGCAGCUGGAAGGUCACGUCACGGGGAAAGGCAGCAUACCAGCUUUCAGAUUUUAGGGAAGGCUUAAGGUUACUGUACACUUUC